GAUGUCUUCCUGCACUGCAGACUCAGCCUGUGUGACCAGAGGAGCUCCUCCUGCACUCCGAACUGUGGUAGAAGAAUAUCCCGCUCUGUCUCCACCUCGGCCUCCCAAAGCCCCUUACCAUCGGACCAAUCACCUGGACCAAAGGGCCAGAGUGAACCAAACAGCACUGCAAUGGGACAGCAGAGAGCUUCUGUAUCUUAAUGAUUAUUAGAUAAUAAAGUGAAACUUUACU